GACGAACGCUGGCGGCGUGCUUAACACAUGCAAGUCGAACGGGUCUGCCCUGUUUUUUGCGGGGUGGGUCAGUGGCGAACGGGUGAGUAACACGUGAGUAACCUGCCCCUCACUUCUGGAUAACCGCUUGAAAGGGUGGCUAAUACGGGGUGUUCUGGCUGUGCCGCAUGGUGUGGCUGGGAAAGAUUCACUUUUGUGGUGUUUUGGUGGGGGAUGGGCUCGCGGCCUAUCAGCUUGUUGGUGGGGUGAUGGCCUGCCAAGGCUUUGACGGGUAGCCGGCCUGGGAGGGUGGGCGGUCACACUGGGACUGAGAUACGGCCAAGACUCCUGCGGGAGGCAGCAGUGGGGGGUAUUGCACAAUGGGCGGAAGCCUGAUGCAGCGACGUCGCGUGAGGGAUGGAGGCCUUCGGGUUGUGAACCUCUUUCGCCGGUGAAGAAGGUCCUGCUCUUUGUGGUGGGGUUGACGGUAGCCGGGUUAUGAAGCGCCGGCUAACUACGUG
rnacentral:rRNA from 1 species